UGCCCGUGCCUCUAAACCCCAUGUUUACAUACCUUUGUUGCUUUGGCAGGCCGCGGCCUCCGCUGUGGGCUCACGCUCGCAUGUGCCCGCCAGAGGACCCAACUCUUGAUUUUAGUGAUGUCUGAGUACUAUUAAAUAGUUAAAAACUUUCAACAACGGAUCUCUUGGUUCUGGCAUCGAUGAAGAACGCAGCGAAAUGCGAUAAGUAAUGUGAAUUGCAGAAUUCAGUGAAUCAUCGAAUCUUUGAACGCACAUUGCGCCCGCUGGUAUUCCGGCGGGCAUGCCUGUUCGAGCGUCAUAAUGACCAACUCACGCUCCGCGUGGUCUUGGGGUCCGCUGCCACGGCGGCCCCUAAACGCAGUGGCGGUGCCGUGCGGCUCUCAGCGUAGUAAUUCUUCUCGCUACAGGGUCCGGACGGUGCUGGCCAGCAACCCCAACUAUAUAAGGUUGACCUCGGAUCAGGUAGGGAUACCCGCUGAACUUAAGCAUAUCAAUAAGCGGAGGAAA
rnacentral:rRNA from 1 species